UACGGGGGGGGCAAGCGUUGUUCGGAAUUACUGGGCGUAAAGGGCUCGUAGGCGGCCAACUAAGUCAGACGUGAAAUCCCUCGGCUUAACCGGGGAACUGCGUCUGAUACUGGAUGGCUUGAGUUUGGGAGAGGGAUGCGGAAUUCCAGGUGUAGCGGUGAAAUGCGUAGAUAUCUGGAGGAACACCGGUGGCGAAGGCGGCAUCCUGGACCAACACUGACACUGAGGAGCGAAAGGCCAGGGGAGCAAACGGG
rnacentral:rRNA from 1 species